AUUGAACGCUGGCGGCAGGCCUAACACAUGCAAGUCGAACGAGUGGCGGACGGGUGAGUAAUGUCUGGGAAACUGCCUGAUGGAGGGGGAUAACUACUGGAAACGGUAGCUAAUACCGCAUACCAUCGGAUGUGCCCAGAUGGGAUUAGCUAGUAGGUGGGGUAACGGCUCACCUAGGCGACGAUCCCUAGCUGGUCUGAGAGGAUGACCAGCCACAUUGGAACUGAGCCACGGUCCAGACUCCUAAGGGAGGAAGCAGUGGGGAAGAUUGCACAAUGGGAGCAAGCCUGAUGAAGUCAUGGCGCGUGUAUGAAGAGGGCAAGCGGGUGGGAAAGUACUUUCAGCGGGGAGUCGUUACCGGAAGAAGAAGCACGGGCGAAGACCGUGCCAGCAGCCGCGGUAAUUC
rnacentral:rRNA from 1 species